rnacentral:rRNA from 1 species
AUAAUGGGUCAGCGACUUAUAUUCUGUAGCAAGGUUAACCGAAUAGGGGAGCCGAAGGGAAACCGAGUCUUAACUGGGCGUUAAGUUGCAGGGUAUAGACCCGAAACCCGGUGAUCUAGCCAUGGGCAGGUUGAAGGUUGGGUAACACUAACUGGAGGACCGAACCGACUAAUGUUGAAAAAUUAGCGGAUGACUUGUGGCUGGGGGUGAAAGGCCAAUCAAACCGGGAGAUAGCUGGUUCUCCCCGAAAGCUAUUUAGGUAGCGCCUCGUGAAUUCAUCUCCGGGGGUAGAGCACUGUUUCGGCAAGGGGGUCAUCCCGACUUACCAACCCGAUGCAAACUGCGAAUACCGGAGAAUGUUAUCACGGGAGACACACGGCGGGUGCUAACGUCCGUCGUGAAGAGGGAAACAACCCAGACCGCCAGCUAAGGUCCCAAAGUCAUGGUUAAGUGGGAAACGAUGUGGGAAGGCCCAGACAGCCAGGAUGUUGGCUUAGAAGCAGCCAUCAUUUAAAGAAAGCGUAAUAGCUCACUGGUCGAGUCGGCCUGCGCGGAAGAUGUAACGGGGCUAAACCAUGCACCGAAGCUGCGGCAGCGACGCUUAUGCGUUGUUGGGUAGGGGAGCGUUCUGUAAGCCUGCGAAGGUGUGCUGUGAGGCAUGCUGGAGGUAUCAGAAGUGCGAAUGCUGACAUAAGUAACGAUAAAGCGGGUGAAAAGCCCGCUCGCCGGAAGACCAAGGGUUCCUGUCCAACGUUAAUCGGGGCAGGGUGAGUCGACCCCUAAGGCGAGGCCGAAAGGCGUAGUCGAUGGGAAACAGGUUAAUAUUCCUGUACUUGGUGUUACUGCGAAGGGGGGACGGAGAAGGCUAUGUUGGCCGGGCGACGGUUGUCCCGGUUUAAGCGUGUAGGCUGGUUUUCCAGGCAAAUCCGGAAAAUCAAGGCUGAGGCGUGAUGACGAGGCACUACGGUGCUGAAGCAACAAAUGCCCUGCUUCCAGGAAAAGCCUCUAAGCAUCAGGUAACAUCAAAUCGUACCCCAAACCGACACAGGUGGUCAGGUAGAGAAUACCAAGGCGCUUGAGAGAACUCGGGUGAAGGAACUAGGCAAAAUGGUGCCGUAACUUCGGGAGAAGGCACGCUGAUAUGUAGGUGAAGUCCCUCGCGGAUGGAGCUGAAAUCAGUCGAAGAUACCAGCUGGCUGCAACUGUUUAUUAAAAACACAGCACUGUGCAAACACGAAAGUGGACGUAUACGGUGUGACGCCUGCCCGGUGCCGGAAGGUUAAUUGAUGGGGUCAGCGCAAGCGAAGCUCUUGAUCGAAGCCCCGGUAAACGGCGGCCGUAACUAUAACGGUCCUAAGGUAGCGAAAUUCCUUGUCGGGUAAGUUCCGACCUGCACGAAUGGCGUAAUGAUGGCCAGGCUGUCUCCACCCGAGACUCAGUGAAAUUGAACUCGCUGUGAAGAUGCAGUGUACCCGCGGCAAGACGGAAAGACCCCGUGAACCUUUACUAUAGCUUGACACUGAACAUUGAGCCUUGAUGUGUAGGAUAGGUGGGAGGCUUUGAAGUGUGGACGCCAGUCUGCAUGGAGCCGACCUUGAAAUACCACCCUU